rnacentral:rRNA from 1 species
CCUACGGGGGGCUGCAGUGGGGAAUAUUGGACAAUGGGGGGAACCCUGAUCCAGCCAUGCCGCGUGUGUGAAGAAGGCCCUCGGGUUGUAAAGCACUUUCAGUGAGGAAGAACGCCUGGUGGUUAAUACCCAUCAGGAAAGACAUCACUCACAGAAGAAGCACCGGCUAACUCCGUGCCAGCAGCCGCGGUAAUACGGAGGGUGCGAGCGUUAAUCGGAAUUACUGGGCGUAAAGCGCGCGUAGGUGGCUUGAUAAGCCGGUUGUGAAAGCCCCGGGCUCAACCUGGGAACGGCAUCCGGAACUGUCAAGCUAGAGUGCAGGAGAGGAAGGUAGAAUUCCCGGUGUAGCGGUGAAAUGCGUAGAGAUCGGGAGGAAUACCAGUGGCGAAGGCGGCCUUCUGGACUGACACUGACACUGAGGUGCGAAAGCAUGGGUAGCAAACAGGAUUAGAUACCCUGGUAGUC